rnacentral:sRNA from 1 species
AUAUAUAUUGGGAACAAUGAGUAAUUGAAAAAAAAAAACACAAAAAACCAAAAC